GUCUAUAAUCGUAUAUAGACGUUAGUGGCCUUAGUAGUCGACGUCUAUAAGCUCCGCAAAUAUUAAUUUUUAAAUCACAAAGACGUCAGAUUAGUGAGGUCACCGACGUCUUUUCCAUAUAGACGUCGGGCUUGUGUGCAACUGAUGUCUGAUUUCUUGUUGAAACAGUGAUUGUGAACCAGCAAUUUUGCGCACUUCAUCGUCUUCCUUGGCUUUUCUCUCCACUCCAUUGAAUUUACAGGUGCGCUUAAUCUCUU
rnacentral:lncRNA from 1 species